AUUGGAAGGGAUGUAUUUAUUAGAUUAAAAACCAAUGCCCUUCGGGGCUCACUGGUGAUUCAUGAUAACUCCUCGAAUCGCAUGGCCUUGUGCCGGCGAUGGUUCAUUCAAAUUUCUUCCCUAUCAACUUUCGAUGUUUGGGUAUUGGCCAAACAUGGUUGCAACGGGUAACGGAGGGUUAGGGCUCGACCCCGGAGAAGGAGCCUGAGAAACGGCUACUACAUCCAAGGAAGGCAGCAGGCGCGCAAAUUACCCAAUCCCGACACGGGGAGGUAGUGACAAUAAAUACUGAUACAGGGCUCUUUUGGGUCUUGUAAUUGGAAUGAGUACAAUUUAAAUCCCUUAACGAGGAACAAUUGGAGGGCAAGUCUGGUGCCAGCAGCCGCGGUAAUUCCAGCUCCAAUAGCGUAUAUUAAAGUUGUUGUGGUUAAAAAGCUCGUAGUUGAACCUUGGGCCUGGCUGGCCGGUCCGCCUCACCGCGUGUACUGGUCCGGCCGGGCCUUUCCCUCUGUGGAACCCCAUGCCCUUCACUGGGUGUGGCGGGGAACCAGGACUUUUAC
rnacentral:rRNA from 1 species